rnacentral:lncRNA from 1 species
GGAACAUUGCGACACUUGCAAGUUCUCCCUAGUUGUUAAGAUAGAAAGGCACUGUUCAUGAGGGGAAUCCUUUGGAAGUCCUGUCUUGCUGACAGAUAGGUCCCUUUGGAACAGAUUGGAGGUCUUCUCCCCACAGCAGAGGAAAAACAACAACAGCAACAACAAUACAAAAUGACAACAGAAAAAGCAAGUGUGAAGAGGUCCAAUCUUACCCAUGUUGGGGUUACCUCAUCUUGUUCUGACCAACACUACCAGCUAAAGUCCUCCAAAUAGUCAACAUCAACCCCCAGAAAUGUCUCCCUAUCCUUGGGGCACAACAAUAUUGAAAUAUGUACCAAUUAAUAACCCUACAAUGGUCUCACAUGUUCAAGUAGAAUAAAAGAGACGCACAUGUCUCACUUUCAAUUAAAAGCUAGAAAUGAUUAAGCUUUGUGAGAAAGUCAUGCCAAAAGCCAGCAUAGGCAAAAUAUUAGGCCUUUCAGGCCGGUUAACACAGUUGUGAAUGCAAACAAAAAGUUUUUGAAGGAAAUUAAAAGUGCUACUACAGGGAACACACAAAUGACAAGAAAACAAAAAAAAAAUCAGUUUUAUUGCUGAUAUGGAGAAAGUGGAUAGAACCUCAAAUUAGCCACAGCAUUCCUUAAGCCAAAACCUAAUCCAAAGCAAGGCCCACAGUCUUCCAAUUUUUUGAAAGCUAAGAGGUGAGGAAGCUGCAGAAGAAAAGUUGGAAGCUAGCAAAGACUAGUUUGGAAGGUUUAAGGAAAAAAUACAUCUCCAUAAAAUAAAAUUACAGGGUAAAUCAGCAAGUACUGAUGUAGAAGCUAAAGCAAGUUAUCCAGAAGAUCUAGCUAACAUUAUAGAUGAAGGCAACUACACUAAAUGACAGAUUUUCAAUGUAGAUGAAAAAGCCUUAUGUUGGAAGAAGAUGUCAUCUAUAACUUUCAUAGAUAGAGGAAGUCAAUGCCUAGCUUCAAAGGAAAGGCUGACUCUCAAGAGCUAAUGUAGCUGGUGACUUGAAGUUGAAGCCAGUGCUCAUUUACCAUUCCAAAAAUGCUAGAGCACUUAAAAAUUAUACUAAAUUGGGCUGGGCAUGGUGGCU